AAACAGGUAACAGAGCAAAUUUUUGGAAUGAAAAGGUUCACAGAAAGUGAAUCAAAGUGAUAAAUCGAGAAGUGAUAAAUACUUACAUGGAUUUUCUGGCAAUGUUAGCAUCUGCUUCACCAUUUCCAAGGUGAACUAUAUACUUAUUACAAAUCCUAAGACAAAUGUUCUGCGAGGAUGCUUGAUAAUAGGUACUCCUUCAUGUAAGACCAAGCAAAUACUUUGCUGAUGAUUCAAGAAUUGAUUGCCAUCCACUCAUAUUUGACAAUGUUAAUAGUUUCUUAAAACCUUUACCAUGAGGAUUCCUUAAAUUUAGUAAGUCAAAACGUCUAUCAAUGUUUCUGAUAAAUGUAACAGUAGCUUCACUAUUUUGGAACUCUGACUGUUUUUGGACUAUGUUCAUGAAAUCAAUGGCAUCUGCAACUGAGGCACUGAGUGUUUGAGCUGCCAAACUCACAUUCAUUUUGUGUUUCUCAAACUGGAUUGGUUAUUUGAUAAUUUGUUGGCAAGUUUUAGGCCCUCUUGCUCUUGCAGUAAAUUAAGAGUGUGGAAGAAGUUCCAUUGUAUUUGCUCUCCAUCACUUGAACAGGUUGUACCAAGAAAUGCUAAUGCAUUUCUUGCAAGUUUUAGCAUAUGGCAUGCAUUUAAGACGACAAAGACAUCUUUGCCAGUUAUAGGAUGUUGAAACUUUGGUGAAAUUGAAUCAUAGGUAUUGCCAAAAUUACAUCCAAGUUUCUUGAAAGUGCUGAUGUUGGUCGUCGUCCCAUCUGAUGUUACACACCAUAUUUUCAGACCAGCAUCACUUGCUUUCACCAGUGCAAUGUUGAUAAGCUGUGUUUGCACAGUUGCAGAAGCUUUGUUUAUAAGGAAGUAUCCAAUUGGCUGUUUCCAAUGACCUUGUAAUGCAACAAGUAAGAAAACAAGGGCUUCAGAUGCAACAAUUUGGGGGGCCUCUAAUGGUCCAUAAUCAAUGAAACCACUAUACUGGUUUUUGGCUGAUUCCCACUGAACCUGUAUAUGGAUGGCCAUUGCAUCCAAAACCAGGCAACAAUCUUUCUUGUUUUUGUCCAAUUUUGCUUGCUCUUCCAAACUUUGAAAUGACUCACUUAUAAAACCUGUUUCAUAAGCGUGGAAAUAUUGCAAUUUAUCAUUUUGGGAAGCCAUUUACAAUCAUUGGAGCAGAAACCAGGCAGUGCGUACAUGGUUCAGAAAAGGAAUCAAGAGGUGACUAGAAACCAAGAGCAUCAGACGACCAUAAUUAUGGAAAGAACUAUCGACUCAAACUUCAUGGAACGCGAAAACUAAAUUGCCCAACUGUUAUUCAACUACGUCACAUAAAUAUUUACGAUGAAUUUGAAUCAUCAGGCAGUUUUUCGUCACCCCGAGCUUUAGGACAGCUAAAGAGAAAAAAUUAAUAGAGCUUAAGAAAAAGAUUUCUUCUGGCGAGAGAAUAUCAAAAUCUUUUCGACACUACCUAAAAGUACCCUUAAGUAUAAAGCAUGUUAACCAUCCAGUUGUAGAAUAUGCAAUGGUCAACCAAAUCGUCGACAAAAGAAUCGUGGAACGAAUUCACGAACUAGCAAACAAAAAUAUAUCAGCGAUUCCAGAAGUCAGACGUUUUCUUGAAGAAUUAGUACAAAAUGAGUUGCUUGCUGGUACACCAGAGCACACAAAGCCCAAAAUGACAAAUCGUCGAUAUUAUCCAACCAAAGAUAUACGUAAUCACGUGGCUAGAGUUGCUGCCUCGACAGAAGAAUACAGCGACGACCAGGAAUCCCUGCUACGAAUAAUAGCCGGGUGGAAAUUGUCAUCAGAAACGUCAAACUUUUUUCUGUGUACUCGUGAAGGCAAAUCAAACUUUUUCGGGAAUCCUGUAAAUAAUUUUCUGUUCGUUCAUCAAGAGCAAUGAAUAUCUUGAAAGAAUGGAGUCCUGCAUGGAAUCCGAAGUACUUCAUGAUUUUUCUGCUGCAGAAAUAGGGACAUUGGAAUCAUGCUUCCCAGGUGCUUUCGCCUACAUUUGUGACUUUCAUCGUCAACAAGCCAUACAACGUUGGGUAAAAGCAGGGAGAAAUAAGCUGAACCAAAACAACAAAGACUUUUCUAGACGGCAAUGACAAAAAUUGGUGAUGCUUCAACAAUAGAAAGAUUUCAUGAUGACGUACAAGUCUUCGUCAUUCUAACUUGUACGUCACGAACGAAAACGUUAGGCACUACUUAGAAAGUACGUGGAUGACUUGUCAACGUCGCUCGUGCCAUGGAUUCCGAAAAAUGCAAGUUUUAAAUAUCGUUAAAACCAACAACGGCGUCGAAUCAUUAAACAGACUGUUCAAGUACACGUACUUUCCCUUAUCAAUCGACAAAUCUGUUCAUGGUAUAGUCGUCAUGAUUGUAUCAUCAUUUCUACCAGAUUCCUACCAAAGUUACUUGAGCGCAAACCUUCGCUUAAGCAGUUCUUACCGAAAGUAUAAUCGAAUUGUUCACAACUAUUUACAAAAUCGCCCACCGCACUUUGUUAAGCAGUGCUUAAAAAAUAAGUUUGUGUAUAAACCUGAAGGAGGGAAGAUUUCAAAUAAAAAGCUCCCAAAACAAGAAGCUGUUUAAUCUUGUUCAAUUUCUACUUCCAAGCUGCAGUUGUGAAUCUUGGCGACGAUAAAAUUAUUCAUGUAAGCACUUUUUCGCAGUCUUUAAUUUCUUUUCAAAAUGGCAAUUUUGCAAUUUGCCAGAGACGUAUCGAGAAAGUGUCUUUAUAACUCUUGACACUGAUAGCUUGCCCCUUCAACUUGGAACUGCUUUCUCUUCUCAUGAUGUUGCGUCUCACACGCAUAGCUAUGACAAUAAAUCAUUUUCUGAUCCAAUCACUCAAAUACCUGUGUACAGCCCCAGAACAGAGCUAACAGUGUCGUCGACUGGGAAAAAUUAGAAAAAAGUUUCAAGAGAAACUAACGGCCUUAAAAGACCUUUCAUUUUUGGUUGAUGAUGUAAAAGCACUUCGUGAUGGCGUCUCAAUAAUCGACAAUCUUAUGGUAAAAUUUUAAACAACGUGCCCAGAAGUUGAUAGCUUAUUUCUAAAAUCUAGUCCUGAAAAAAGAAAUUAAAGGUCGCAUCUGUUGACUAUCAUAAGGUGUUUCACAAGAAGCUUUCCCUAAGAGGAAACACAAGAAAAACCCUCAUCAGCGUGAAAAAGGCAUGGAUGGUGAUGAAGAGAUGAUUAAAGAGAGAUCAAUGGAGGAACAUCCAUCCAUUGAUCUGACUGUAUAAUCACCAGAGCAGGAAUCAUGCAUGGAUUUUUGCACAAGCACCUCGAAUAAUGAACGAAGCCAGAAAGCCAGAAAAAGAUAUUGGCAAUGUGUCCUCAGAAAUCGUUUCAUCAACAUCAGUAAAAUCAGCGCGGAAUCCAUACGAUAGAAUAGUACUUGCAAGUAAAAAGGGUUUGCAAACCGGUAUUCUUGAGUUUGGUCCGGUCAAACUUCAUGUGGCUGAUCUCUGCACUCUACUGCCUCUGCACUCUACUGCCUCUGCACUCUACUGCCUCUGCACUCUACUGCCUCUAGUGACUACAACAUGAACAACAGGUUUGGUGAAAGAAGCUCAACCUUUGUUCCUGUUUGGCUAGUUGAUGAGGUGAUUGACAUUAAAACUGGUUAGAAAAGCAAGGAUUGGGCAUGUUUACAACCAAAACACUGUGUUCAAACAGAUGGCUUCAAUGUGGAGUCUUAAUUUGUGUAAAAUGAUUUCAGUUUGCAGGAAGUCUUGCAUGAGUGGAACAUUUUAAAGUUUGAACUAUCAAAGGAAAGAGCAAAACUUGCAUCUGCACUUUUGGGAAGUUGUCAUGAUGAUAUAAAUGAGUAAGAAGUUCCUUCAUCUUAUUUUUCAAAGUUCAUGCUUAAGAAAUGUCAAAUUUAUACAUAUGCUGAUGCUAUACUUACUAAUUAAGGCAAGAUGAUUCCUCUUGUAAAAUUUGUUAAGAGUGUGAAAGUGAACACUGGAUUGGCUGUGAUACUUGUGGACAAUAUUUUCAUGCCAGCUGUCUUAAGCUAGAUUAUGGUGAGGCAUUAAGAGACAUGUUUUACUGUCCAUAGUAAUUACUAAGGCCAAUGCAAGUACGUAAGGUACUUAUCAGGUUGCCAUAAUCUGCAUGCUUCUAUUUUAUUAUUUCGAGUUUUUACACUGUUAUUAUGUUUGUGUACUGAGUUGAUAACUAUGUAUUUACCUGUGUGGCCUGUUUGUGAUUUGCUUCAAACUAUAAAUUAAUGUAUGUAAAUAUUUGGAAUAGUUUUAAUUGACUGAAUGAAACAUAAUGAUUGAUUAAAUAAUCAAUAAUAAAAAA